UUAGUUGAAACCAAAAUAGAGGUUUAUCACUGUUAAUGAUAAUAUUGAAUAACAUUUCCAAUUAAG
rnacentral:tRNA from 1 species